AACGAACGCUGGCGGCAGGCCUAACACAUGCAAGUCGAGCGCGCCUUCGGGUGAGCGGCGGACGGGUGAGUACCGCGUGGGAAUAUGCCCUUCUCUACGGAAUAGUCCUGGGAAACUGGGGGUAAUACCGUAUACGCCCUUUGGGGGAAAGAUUUAUCGGGGAAGGAUUAGCCCGCGUUGGAUUAGGUAGUUGGUGGGGUAAUGGCCUACCAAGCCGACGAUCCAUAGCUGGUUUGAGAGGAUGAUCAGCUACACUGGGACUGAGACACGGCCCAGACUCCUACGGGAGGCAGCAGUGGGGAAUCUUAGACAAUGGGGGCAACCCUGAUCUAGCCAUGCCGCGUGAGUGAUGAAGGCCUUAGGGUUGUAAAGCUCUUUCAGCUGGGAAGAUAAUGACGGUACCAGCAGAAGAAGCCCCGGCUAACUCCGUG
rnacentral:rRNA from 1 species